UACGGGGGAUGCAAGCGUUAUCCGGAAUCAUUGGGCGUAAAGCGUCUGUAGGUUGUUUAAUAAGUCUGUUGUUAAAGACUAGGGCUCAACCCUAGAAAAGCAAUGGAAACUACUAGACUUGAGUAUGGCAGGGGUAGAGGGAAUUUCUAGUGUAGCGGUGAAAUGCGUAGAUAUUAGAAAGAACACCAGCGGCGAAAGCGCUCUACUGGACCAUUACUGACACUCAGAGGCGAAAGCUAGGGUAGCAAAAGGGAUUAGAUACCCCUGUAGUCCUAGCCGUAAACGAUGGAUACUAGAUGUUGUGCAUAAUGUACAGUAUCGUAGCUAACGCGUUAAGUAUCCCGCCUGGGGAGUACGGUCGCAAGGCUA
rnacentral:rRNA from 1 species